GUUUUCUUGGAGUACGCAGCUCAUUACAUUUGUUUUUCACUUUAGAAUUAAUUUUAUGUUAAUAGCGAUUCAUUUCUCAUAUGAGUAUAUUCGCGUAAAUAAGAAGGUUUUUUUUUGCAUAAAACGUACACAAUGUAAGUGACGCCAUUUUGUUUCAACGUUUUUUGUUAAGUCAGUUUAACGGUUUUUUAACUUUUUGAUUUUGUUUCUAGUUGUUACUGUUUCCCCCAAAGAAUUUUAAUAGUUUUUCACGGUUUUCACUCCACAAAUUUCACUAAGAUGCUUCUCCACCAUGAUGUAAUAUAUACGAUGAUUGUUAAUCCCUUUGCAAUGAAGUGCUAAAUAAGACGCUAAAUAACAACUUUAAUUUUUAAGUAAAUUUGUAUAACAAUUUUCCUUAAUUUCUAGUCGUGCCUGAAGACGGUUACAUAAGUAACCGAAACAGAUCUGUAGCACCGAAAUUUCUUUAUAAUAAAUUAGUCAUCGUUUUAUGCAAA